CCUACGGGGGGCUGCAGUGGGGAAUAUUGCACAAUGGAGGGAACUCUGAUGCAGCGACGCCGCGUGAGUGAUGAAGGCUUUCGAGUCGUAAAACUCUGUCCUUGGGGACGAUAAUGACGGUACCCAAGGAGGAAGCCCCGGCUAACUACGUGCCAGCAGCCGCGGUAAUACGUAGGGGGCGAGCGUUGUCCGGAAUUAUUGGGCGUAAAGGGUUCGCAGGCGGCCGAUUAAGUCAGAUGUGAAAUCCCACGGCUUAACCGUGGUAAGCAUUUGAAACUGAUUGGCUUGAGUUAAGGAGAGGAAAGUGGAAUUCCUAGUGUAGCGGUGAAAUGCGUAGAUAUUAGGAGGAAUACCAGUGGCGAAGGCGACUUUCUGGACUUAUACUGACGCUGAGGAACGAAAGCGUGGGGAGCAAACAGGAUUAGAUACCCCAGUAGUC
rnacentral:rRNA from 1 species